rnacentral:rRNA from 1 species
UACGUAGGGUGCGAGCGUUGUCCGGAAUUAUUGGGCGUAAAGAGCUCGUAGGCGGUUUGUCACGUCUGCUGUGAAAUCCCGAGGCUCAACCUCGGGCCUGCAGUGGGUACGGGCAGACUGGAGUGCGGUAGGGGAGAAUGGAAUUCCUGGUGUAGCGGUGGAAUGCGCAGAUAUCAGGAGGAACACCCGUGGCGAAGGCGGCUCUCUGGAACGCAACUGACGCUGAGACGCGAAAGCGUGGGGAGCAAACAGG